UGUCCCAUCUCCAAUCCCAAGCCCCUAAACAACAGGCCAGGGGACACCACUUCCCUGGACAGCCCCUGCGGGGACCUGAAGCAGGCUUGCUCCACAGGCAGAUGGGCGCAUGAUAGCUGUGCACAGUGGAGCACUACCAUGCAUGUGACCCCAGCCCCACCCAGGUCAAACAGGGAGAGCAGCCGGGGCCUGCUCCAAGUACCAGGCAGAUGAGAGACCACACUUCCAGAUCCAAUGCAUAACCUUGGGAACUCCCUGCCACUGGAGAGCUUGCACCUUCCUCUGGAGUGGCUGCUUCUAGCUGCUCUCAGCCACUGACCUAUACACAGCCCUAAGCGAUCCUUUCAGCCGGCAGGGCCCCCACUCAGCCCAACCCAACCAGGGGUUUCUGAAAGUGCAAGCCAGCACACUCUGCACAUGGUUAUCGCUGGGUUGGCCAGGCCCCGCAUCGCCAGCAGAUGGAUGCUGCCACCUACUGACGCAAGCUGGUUUUCCAGCACAGCAGGAUGUCAGCCCCAGAGACCCCCGGGAACCCACUCUGGCUUCAGAUCUGGCAUCCCACUGUCAAACCAGCCCCCACUGGUGCCCCAGGGAAGGGACUCGACCAUCUGUCCUGCUCCAAGCUUGCUGGGAAUGGGGCCUCAGGAGAGCAGAGGGCCGGCCCACCACCCCUGCAGCGGAGCCCCACGGAGAGGAGAGAAGCUGCAGGACCUAGAGCAGGAGCAGUCAACAGGCAGAGCACAGGCCACAGCUGGACCACCUGACGCUUUUGAACGGACGGCAAAACUCUGUUUAUUCCCUUGUUAGUGCUAGUGUGGUGUGAAAAAUCUCUCACAUCUGGACCUUGACAAAAAAUAAUUGACUACCCUGACCUAGAGCCUCUGCAGCCCUCCCCAGGGAACAGAGCCAAGGCCUGAGUCAGAUCAGCCCAGCCUGCCACAGGGAAGGGAAGCCGGUCUCUGCUAGAACAGGCCAGGCGCUUUCCCUACCCCCCAGUCAGGGCCUGAGCACCCCUGGGCACGGGACAAGGGAAGGGGCAGCAGCUCUCCCGCCCCUGGGACAGAGCACCCACAGCUGCUGCUAGGUCUCCUGAUCGAGUGCUAGCCUGCCUGUCUCUGGGACUGCUCACAGGGGUGUGGGACGCUCGCCUGGUGCCAGUGGGAACCCUGCGUGUGCUGGGCUGAAAGAUUCCCCUUUCCCUGCACUGUACCCCUGAGGUGUGUGAAGGGGCUCGCCAGGCCCUAGCCCCCAGAACAGGCUAUUGGGGCUCCAGCCAGGGAAAGGCUGCCUACAGAACGGACCUGCUGUCCGGGUGGAGGAACCCUGCUGGAGACAUGCCAGAGAGCCCAUUCCAGCAAUACUGCCAGGACCGAUUCAUAAAGCAACAUCGGCCCAGCUGCCGCCCAGCCAGGGCCUCACCAGGACAGGGUAGGACUCAGGAAGAGACAAUCCCAUUCUGCCAGGCGUUCCAGGGGCCAGGUCGCACUGUGCUGCUGGCUGGAAAGCUGCAUGCCUCAGUGGUUGAGAUGUCCCAUUUCACUGCCCCCCUAUCCAGCGCUGGAGGACGCUCUGCCCACAGAGCUGGAGGGCAACACGCUCACCCCAGAACAGUCUGGUUUAUUAGACGGAUGCAGAAGCCAAGCAGCACAUGUAAGUCACUAAUCAGGUGCAAAUGCUGCAUCCGUCAGCCAGCAGGGCACAGACCAGGCAGGGGCCUGGGCCAGAGCUUGUGUGGAUUCCUGUCUGACUUGGCCUGUUUUGAGUGCGUGCAGCGCAGGCAGGCCUUGGUGAGGGACCCCUGCCACAGGCAUAAGGGGCCAGGGCAGAGGGACUCCUGACCUGUGGGGCCGAUGCAGGGACAAGGCUCCAUUCAAAGUCACUUAGCCAUUUCCCUACCCUGCCCAGGCAGAGAGUGGGGCCGGGCCCUCCCCAGGGGCACAAUAGAGGCCAGGACCCCAAAGAAAUCUGAAGAGAAAAGGGCCUUUGCACAGGCCCCGCAAGGCCGGAGUACCUAGGGACAGCCCCUUGGGCCAGAGGGGAGGCAUGGGGAGGAAGCAGCUUGUGUCAGGAGGACCAGGCCACUGUCCCAGCCCCUUCCCAGGGCAAAGCAGCAGGGAGAUGAGAGUGGCAGCAGGCCAAGGGCAGGGCCAGGUGCUGGCCUGCUCCCAUUCCCUGGAAAGCUGCAAGUCGGAGCCCUAACCCGCCGAGCUCGGUGCCUGCCUCAGCCAGCGGGGAGGGAGAUGCCAGGUAAGCCGGGAACAAUGGCCAGGCGGAUUCAGAGGGGAUGCCUGGCCACUGGCUAUAAGGGAAGGAACUGGACUCCCCAGCAGGGAUCCCCACUUCUCCAGCAUGGCAGUUCCCAGCACAGAGCAGAGUGAAACCCUCGCACAGAGUUCGGGGGUGUUUCACUUUGGUUAAUUUAAUCUGUUAAACGGCCUGGGCUGUAGCAUGGCUCUCUUCUGAACCAGCCAGGCCCUGCGCAUCUACUCUGGCUGCUC